AGUGCAUUUGAAACUCCCCUUGCACCAGGGCUGACUGUAGCUGGGGGAAGACAUUUUACUCAUUUGCUCUUUCCUUUCAUACAGUCAGCUGGUCCCUCUUCUCAGGUGUAGAUCACCUAUUCUAAUUUUACCUAAUUUUGAUACUCUGAUAAGGAAAGUCCCAGGACUUAUCAGCUGGGAUAGGCCUCACUUACAAGACAGCUCUGUUCAGUAUUUGGAAGAAAGCCUGACAGGUUUCUUCGGAAAAGUGGCCAUCCAUGGAAUGAAUGAAAUGUUCUCUUUCUAUUCCAGGGAUUGCAGUGGCAAAGCUAGGCUAGGUCUUGGAGGCUGGUGUAAGGCGAUGCGGGUGAAGGCAGGAGGCUGAUGGAGAGACUGGGGGGAAGAAAAGCCGAAAUGGAUUCACGGUGCCUUGGAUGAAGGACGAGAGGGGAACUGCAAGCUCCUUCAACUGGUUCUGUCCGGUGAGAAGUGAUCAAGCUUGGGCUGACAAGAGGCUCAGGGAGCCCUCACGUUCUUUCGCUUUUUUACCUGCCAAUCAAACUGCUACAAGACAACACCCUGAUCUGGCAUGGACAUAUCCAACUUAGAAAUAAUGUUUCAUUCAAGAUAAGGCUCGUGGUUUAGGAGAUUGUGACCUGGCUUGCAUCAUUCUAAGACUUCUAUCGUCUGUUUUCAAAACCCAAGGAGGACCUCAUUUUCUGUGUGAUAGUUCCUCAUGCUUUGCCAGCCACUGGGUCUUUAAGGAAGCUUGCCAAGAGUUCCCGGCUGGGAAGGACAGUUCGAGUUCAUCAUAGACAAUGAGCUGGCACCACAGUUUAAGUGACUCACCAACCUGGUUGCCCACUUCAAAAUGUCAAGAACCACACUAUCUAAUUGAAAGA
rnacentral:sRNA from 1 species